AACAAACGCUGGCGGCGUGCCUAACACAUGCAAGUCGUACGAGAAAGUCGGCUUCGGCCGAUGAGUACAGUGGCGCACGGGUGAGUAGCGCGUGGGUAAUCUGCCCCCCGGUCAGGAAUAACCCGCCGAAAGGCGGGCUAAUACCCGAUAACACUGACGCUCCGCGGAGCGUCUUUCAAAGAAGGCCUCUGUUUACAAGCUUUCGCCGGAGGAUGAGCCCGCGUACCAUUAGCUAGUUGGCAGGGUAAUGGCCUACCAAGGCUACGAUGGUUAGCUGGUCUGAGAGGAUGGCCAGCCACACUGGAACUGAGACACGGUCCAGACUCCUACGGGAGGCAGCAGUGAGGAAUCUUGCGCAAUGGGGGAAACCCUGAUGCAGCAACGCCGCGUGAGGGACGACGGCCUUCGGGUUGUAAACCUCUUUUAGUAGGGAAGAAGCGAAAGUGACGGUACCUGCAGAAAAAGCACCGGCUAACUACGUG
rnacentral:rRNA from 1 species